ACCCAAGACUGGGUACUUUCUCAACUUUCAAAUUGAGCUGUUCAGAAUGUGUGAAACAAUUUUAAGAUGAAGUCAAAGAUACUUGAAGCAGAAGCUGUAUCUGAGGAAGCUGUAUAUAAACCCAAUUUAAAGCAAGUUUAACCUGCUGAUUGGGAAGAAUUUUUAUGAAAAGCUGUGUGCUUCCUGAUAAGAAAAAAGGCUUUCCUGUUUCGAUCAAACCAGAACCAGAUGAGAACUCAGCACAGGCACUGCAGCCACGGAGGUUUCCAGAUAGAAAAAUUGACACCCCUGAGAUCCCAUAACAUUUUGGGGACUCAUCUGGGAUCUGCGGAAGGGUGAGUAAAAGCAGCUCUGCUUUCUGUCUUUUCUUUAGGAGUCCCUGAACUCCACAAUAGUCAAGAUGAAGGAAAAAUACUGGGCCUCUGUCAGCCAGUAAAAGCGACUACUGUGGCCGGACUUAAGACACAGGACAGGCUUGCUGGGGAGAACACUGUCAAUCCUCCAUCACCCUCAGGUGUUGGAAAUAUUGGCUU
rnacentral:lncRNA from 10 species